rnacentral:rRNA from 1 species
GCCAGCCCGCUCAAGAACUCAAAGGAAUUGACGGGGGCCCGCACAAGCGGUGGAGUAUGUGGUUUAAUUCGAUGCAACGCGAAGAACCUUACCUGGUCUUGACAUCCCGGAGACCCUUAGGAAACUAGGGGUGCUUCCAUCUGGAAGAAUCUGGAGACAGGUGCUGCAUGGCUGUCGUCAGCUCGUGUCGUGAGAUGUUGGGUUAAGUCCCGCAACGAGCGCAACCCUUGCCUUUAGUUGCCAGCAGUUCGGCUGGGCACUCUAAAGGGACUGCCGGUGUUAAACCGGAGGAAGGUGGGGAUGACGUCAAGUCCUCAUGGCCUUUAUGACCAGGGCUACACACGUACUACAAUGGCCGAUACAAAGGGCAGCGACACUGCGAGGUGAAGCCAAUCCCGUAAAAUCGGUCUCAGUCCGGAUUGGAGUCUGCAACUCGACUCCAUGAAGUUGGAAUCGCUAGUAAUCGUGGAUCAGCAUGCCACGGUGAAUACGUUCCCGGGCCUU